rnacentral:rRNA from 1 species
GACGAACGCUGGCGGCAGGCUUAACACAUGCAAGUCGAGCGCCCCGCAAGGGGAGCGGCAGACGGGUGAGUAACACGUGGGAACGUACCCUUUGGUUCGGAACAACCCAGGGAAACUUGGGCUAAUACCGGAUACGUCCGUAAGGAGAAAGAUUUAUCGCCAAAGGAUCGGCCCGCGUCUGAUUAGCUAGUUGGUGAGGUAAUGGCUCACCAAGGCUACGAUCAGUAGCUGGUCUGAGAGGAUGAUCAGCCACAUUGGGACUGAGACACGGCCCAAACUCCUACGGGAGGCAGCAGUGGGGAAUAUUGGACAAUGGGGGCAACCCUGAUCCAGCCAUGCCGCGUGAGUGAUGAAGGCCCUAGGGUUGUAAAGCUCUUUUAGCAGGGAAGAUAAUGACGGUACCUGCAGAAAAAGCCCCGGCUAACUUCGUGCCAGCCGCCGCGGUAA